CUUUUGCUGGCCUGGGGAAUUUUGCAUGUGGAGAAAGCCGGGGAAUACAGAAAGUUGCACAAAUUGAGGAGUGCAAUGCAGACAUUUAUACUCACCCCAGCAGUUGUCACCUCACGAGGCUUACAAUCAACGAGAGUGAACUUAUACUUGCCAGAGCAGGGCACUUUUACCUACCCAGGAACAGCUGACAAACAUGACUAUCCAGUAUGUUAUUAGAUCAGUUUCAUUUUCAAUUGGGUCUAUCCUGUCAAUAUGAGAUUAGUGUAUCCUUAUAUAGAAAUGAAGCCAGUAGGCAAAUUUGGGUAACGUUGUUUACAUCGUUGCUACCCAAUUCACAGCUUUUGAUAACUCACAUGCCUAGUUACUAUUGCUCUAGUUACAGAAGCAUAGACUGAAUAGAACAAAAGUAACUAAACAUUAAACUUAUGCAUUAUCACUUUAUAUUUACUGAGAUCGAGGGAUCGAAACAGUGUGUUUUGUGGACCAGAGCCACUUAUAGAUAGUAUAUAAGUGUUAGAGUAUGAAUCAUUCACCGAUUCAUUGGAGUGAACUUAAUUUGAAACCAAAACUGGAUAAAUGGAACGCCGUAAAUAAAAAGUUUAAAAAAUGAACUUUGAAACUUCGCGAUUGACACGCAUGCGUAUUGCACCCAUUUUAUUAUUGACUGGUCAAUAAAUGUUUCGUUGCGGACCGGUUGCCGAACAUGAGGUUUUGUGGACCGGCACGUGACACGGUUUUGACUAAUCGGCAAAUAGAAAAAUUGAACUUUGACACUAACUAACAAUAAGAGUUAUAAGACUAUAUAACAAUAAGAGUUAGUUAACUUUGUUCUAUUUUAUGCUUUUGUAAUCUAGAACCAUAGUAACUAUAGGCAUGUGUGUUAUAUAAAGUUGUGAAUUGGGUAUAAACAAACGUUACCCAAAUUUGUCUAAUCGAGCUAGACUUGGGUCAGUACACGCAUUUUCAUAAAAAUAGCAACCCUUCGGCUAAACAGGAUUCUGAUUAUCAUAUUGAGCGACAUCAAAAUCAUGGGAGUUUCUGCAAAGUGCAUUAAACCGAUAUUCCCUGUAGCACUAUUUCAUGACCUAAACAUCGCACAGAGACACUUAUGUAAGUUUUCUACUCACAUUGGUCGUUCAGACAUGCACCUCCCGCCGUGGGAGCGGCAGAUCAAGGUCAUAAUCAGGAGAUUAUAGUAUUGUGUCAAUGUAUUGACGAAGUUCUUAUUAUAUUACCAGUAUAUUAUUUAAUAACAUUAAAAUAUAUCAGGGUCGUAGACACCAGCAGAAUCGUUGUAACUGUACUACUGCAUGUAUGUGUAUAUUGAAAGUGUAUAAUUAGUGCAAGCGUAGUAAAGUUAAGUAUAAAUGUAAAGCAAUUCGAAUUCAAGAAUGUUCUGCACAAGAUCGCUUGUAUAUAUUGUAAUUAUAUUUUCACAAAAUUGUAUAUAUUCUUUUGAACAAGCUAAAAAAGUUUACUCAUGGGUAAUAAAUCAGCUUAUUUUAACUCUUCAAUUACUAGUGUCGCUGAUCGGCGAACACGCGAAUGUAAACAAACAGCUAAAAAUAGAUCCAAUUUGGAGAUUUAUAACUUUUCAGAAAAUUGCUUGCAGACGAGUUUUAUUCCUGAUUACUUAACUUCAGUAGGUAUACUUUCAAAUUACAUGCCAUUUGAACUUCAGAUAGGUGCCACUUUUGAGCUAUUUUAAGUAAAAUAUGAGCAAUUUUCAGCCUCUCGUCGCCAUCUUGAAAACAUAGUUUCGUAAAACUAUUAAAAAAAUCGUAUUAAGCAAAUAAAGUUGUUCAAUCUCCGUGUAAGCGAGAGUAUUAGUGUUAAUCUUGCAUGUGAACAGUAACUGGAGGGGAUAAAGGCAUUACAACGUUUUUAAAAAAUCAGAUGAAUUCUUGUAAAAUUCCCCUUCAUUUCCGGUCUGAAAAUAUUCUCGCAAGGUCAAAUUUUAACAUGGCUAUAACUCCUAUAAAACAGAAAGUUGAAACGUUCUGAAAGAAGCUCGAUUAAUAUUGACCAAAGUCUAGUUCAUAUGCAAAAUAUGAGCUAAAUCUAUUUUUCCUUCCCCAAACCAGUGAGUGGAUUUUACUGAGAGGCCCUCUUAAUACUCAUAUUUUGAUAAUCUUUUGUAUAUUUAGACAAUUGUGAGUCGAUUUAACUGAACAACCCGAUCAAGAGAAUUCUUAUGCCGCGUGAAAUCGAAAAACACUAUCUACAGUACAGCAAUAAACACAAUAUUGAAGUAACGUAAUUUGUUACCUGUUUCCAUCGUUGACAUCAUGGCAUAAUGGUAGACAUCGUGGCCAUCAUGAGCGAAAGUUGUGGACCAUUCCCGGGUAAAAGUCUCGUAACUUUUCGUAUUAUUUUUUUAAACUUUUUUUUGCCAUUAUUUUUUCCAAAAGUCUUCAAAUUGCUCCUCAUAACAGCUUAAUACUCAUAUUUUGGUAAUAUUUUGUAUAUUUGGACAAUUUUGAGUCGAUUUGACCAACGAUGACGAGGGCAUGAACAACGAUGUAUAACGAUGAAGAGAAUCUUAUGUAGGGUGAAAUCCAAAAAAUCUACAUACAGCUAGUACAACGGGAAAUAGAAUAUUUAUGUAUUGACUAUUGUAUUUUUUUACCUAUUUCAUCGUUGACAUCAUGGUAUAGUGGUAAACACCGUGGCCAUCAUGAGCGAAAGUUGUGGAGCAUUCCCAGCUAAAAGUCUCAUAACUUUUCGUAUAAUAUUUUCUUUAUUUGUUUUUGCCGUUAUUUCAGUCUCCAAGUCGCUCUUCAUAACAGCUUAAUACUCAUAUUUUGAUAAUACUUUGCAUAUUUAGACAAUUUUGAAUCGAUUUAACUGAACGACGCGAUGUAGAGAAUUCAUAUGCGGGGUGGAUAUACUAUCUACAGUACAGCAAUAAACACAAUAUUGAAGUGCUGUAAUUUGUUACCUGUUUCAUCGUUGACAUCCUGGUAUAGUGUUAAACAUCGUGGCCAUCAUGCAUGGGCGAAAGUUGUGGACCAUUCCCAGGUAAAAGUCUCGUAACUUUUCGUAUUGGUUUUUUUGUUAACUUUUUUCGCCAUUAUUUUUUCCAAAAGUCUUCAAAUCGCUCCGCAUAACGGUUUAAUACUCAUAUUUUGAUAAUAUUUUGUAUAUUUGGACAAUUUUGAGUCGAUUUGACCAACGAUGACGAGGGCAUGAACCACGAUGUAUAACGAUGAAGAGGCUCUUAUGUAGGGUGAAAUACAAAAAAUCUACAUACAGCUAGUACAACGGGAAAUAGAAUAUUAUUGUAUUUUUUUACCUAGUUCAUCGUUGACAUCAUGGUAUAGUGGUAAACACCGUGGCCAUCAUGAGCGGAAGUUGUGGAGCAUUCCCAGCCAAAAGUCUCGUAACUUUUCGUAUAAUUUUUUCUUUAUUUCUUUUUGCCAUUAUUUUUUCCCGAAAGUCUCCAAAUCGCUCCUCAUAACAACUUAAUACUCAUAUCUUGAUAAUAUUUUGUAUAUUUAGACAAUUUUGAAUCGAUUUAACUGAAGGACGGGAUGUAGAGAAUUAUUAUUCGGGUGAAUCGAAAUAUACUAUCUACUGUACAGUAAUAAAUACAAUAUUGAAGUGUGGUAAUUUGUUACCGGUUUCAUCGUUGACAUAAUGACAUCAUGGUAUGGUGGUAAACAUCGUGGCCAUCAUGGGCGAAAGUUGUGGACCAUUCCCAGGUAAAAGUCUCGUAACUUGUUAGUCUUGUUUUUUUUACUUUUUUUGCCAUUAUUUUUUCCAAAAGUCUCCAAAUUAUAUUUUGAUAAUACAUUGUAUAGUAAAUAC
rnacentral:lncRNA from 1 species